GCUCAGCAUCCUACUACUUGUUCCAAAAUGUUAAAUGUCAACCACCAUUAUCCUCUCCUUCUUACUGUACCCUUCAGUAUUUUAACAGUUUUUCUGUAGGCAAGAAUUUCAAGAUGCGUGUAUCUUGAAGUUUGGGGCAACUGAGUGUGAUUAUUUUUUUCCAGAACAAUGGCAACCAAUUCUCUGUGGUGAGACUAUUAUCAUAAAAUUGAGAGUGGCCCAAACUGUUGGAGCCCAAGCUGCCCUAAAACUUUACAAAUGAGAAGGAAGUGGCUGUCUCGACCAGAAACAAUGGAGGUAGCAGAUGGAAUUGAGAUCACCACUAUUACAUUUCUGGUUGGCAGUGAAUUUUGUGUUAGAGAUAAGUUUAAAGUGCUUUUGUGCACAUAAUUUCAUCGGCAUCCCAACCUUGUGAAAUCGUUGAUUAUUUGAAUUUUGUACAUGAGAACUCUUAAGACUAAAGUCUCUCAAGGUGAUUCAGCUGGCAAAUGGAGUACUACGCAGCAACAAAAAGGAUGGGUUAUUUUGCAGGAAUUUGGAUGAAACUGGAGAUCAUUAUCCUAAGUGAAGUAUCUCGAGAAUGGAAAAACAAAUACCACAGAGCUGAAGAUCUGGAUUUUCUGUUUAUAUUGUCUCAAUCCUUUACUGAAUCUGACUGCUCUUACGACCAGUAAUGAAGUGCACUAAUCAUUCCAGUGCACCAGAGAAGCCAGUGGUGCAAAACACAUUGGCCUUCUGAACUCCAACAAUUAUUUUGAACAACUCUGGGCUAGCUGUUGAAAAUGGAGACCACUUGAAAGAGAGCCAAGCUGUCCAGAGACAUCCUAGUCCAGCCGGGCCCCAGCCAGCCCCCAGCUGACCCCCCAGCUGACCACAGCUGCGUAAGCACACCCAGCUGAGAACAGCUGAGCCGGGCACAGACCAGAGAACCCACCAGCUGACCUGUAGGCUUAUGAGAGAAAUAAUAAAUGGUUGUAUU